GGUGAACGCUGGCGGCGUGCCUAACACAUGCAAGUCGAUCGGAGCAGCAAUGCUUAGAGGCGAACGGGUGAGGAAAACGUAGUAACCAACCCUUUAGACUGGGAUAGCCACUGGAAACGGUGGGUAAUACCGGAUAAGCUCGAGAGAGGAAAGGCAGAGAAGCGCUAAAGGACGGAACUGCGCCCCAUCAGAUAGUUGGUGAGGUAAAGGCUUACCAAGGCGACGAUGGUUAGCUGGUCUGAGAGGACGACCAGCCACACUGGGACUGAGACACGGUCCAGACUCCUACGGGAGGCAGCAGUGGGGAAUAUUGCACAAUGGGCGCAAGCCUGAUGCAGCCAUGCCGCGUGUAUGAAGAAGGCCUUCGGGUUGUAAAGUACUUUC
rnacentral:rRNA from 1 species